UUUCUUCUUAUGAAAUAUACUAUGCAACCAUUACUUGGAUUUAGUAAGAGAUCUUUUAUGUAUGAGUCUGAGUAUCUUUUAUAGGUCUGAUGGAAAAUGUAAAAUUGAGGGCUUACAUGGAUUAAGGA
ensembl:miRNA